rnacentral:tRNA from 1 species
GCGAGGAUGGCGGAACUGGCAGACGCACUAGACUUAGGAUCUAGCGCCUUCGGCGUGGGGGUUCGACUCCCCCUCCUCGUACCA